GGAGACGGACUAACCCGGAGAAGACCGUGCGUAUUUAUCCAAUGAUUGGAUCGGCAGAUGAAGAGUGAGACCGCGAAUUAGCCUGACAUAAGCACUUGGAGGGAAGAUAGAACUGAAGACUAAAUAAAGGGGAUUCCAAAAAUAUAUUUCUUCAUCUUGGACCUAAAACACAAGUGUCUGAUGAAGCACGCCAUCACUACCCGCUCACCAAUCCGCCAUGAGUCUGAGGCAGCAAGAUAAAGUAGAAAAUGUGAACCGGAGGUCGUUUUCUGUCUUUGGUUAUCUAGCUGUAUGAGUGUUAAAUACCUGUCAUAAAGCUAGAUAACCGAAAGUAGAAAUUACUUCCACAUUCUUGUUCCGGUGGAAAAUAAGGCCGAGGGUAUGCCUAAAACUAAGUUAGACCCUUUGACAAGUUUCGUCAAGUUCCACCUCAAAGGCGACUCAUUCACAACAUGGUGUGAUCAAGGAGCACAAAUAGGGGACAGAAUCAUCAAAAAAAGCGAAUGAGGAGGAGAAUUGCCACACAAUACCCCACCCCCUUUACCCACUGGCCUCUAAUGCCAUCUGUACUGCAAAAUGGGAGACAAGAGACGCUGUGCCUAUGCCAAGAUGGGGACAAAGCCAGAUCUCCAGAGGAUGGGCACGCUGAGAGCAGAGAGAGGCGCCAUCUUGGGAGACAUUGCUACAGCACCUAAGAUGGCUGGACUGGCAUACGACGUUUGGAUGUGGAGUGGUCAGUAGGUAGGGAGAUUCUGCAUACUCUAUUGGUGUUCCUGGUACAGUAUGGACCAAACCACUAAACAACAAUCAGACUAUUGGAAACCAUCUCUGUCACUGUCAUACAAAGUUUAUACAACCAGAGAACCACGACAAGGAAGAGGGAAGAUUUGUGCAAUUUAGUUUUAUUUGUGUUUUUUUUUUGUUAGCAAUAGGGUAAUAGUGUAAUGAUUUGAUUAUUUUUUUAAAUUGUAUUUAUAUACUACAAUGUGUUUCUAUUUGUCGUUGUUACUUCUUUUUGAUAUUUAUUAUUUGAGUCUUAUUUUUGUAUAUAUUUAUAUAGUUUUAAAUGCUAUGAUGAUUUGUGUUGUUCCAAAUGUCUGAAUAAAAAUAACAGUUAGUGCAGAAUGGUGCUGCUUUUUUUGGGGGGGGGGGGGUUCAACCAGGGAGCCAUUAAAGCUAGAACUGCCACUGCUUAAGAGAUACGUUGGCUCCCCCCCAAAAAUCAUCUCCUUCCAUAGAAGAAUGGGGGUGGGACAAUAUCUGAAAAUACUAAUCUCAGCACCCAGAACCAAAUCACAAGAGACUAGAAAAUAUUGGAGAAAUCUGAUAUUUCUUUCAUGGAAUACAUUCACACUUUGACUUUCACUAUUGAUUCAUUUUGUUGUUAUUUUACUGUGUGUGUGUGUGUGUGUGUGUGUGUGUGUGUGUGUGUGUGUGUGUGUGUGUGUGUGUUUGUGUGUGUGUGUGUGUGUGUGUGUGUGUGUGUGUGUGUGUGUGUGUGUGUGUGUGUGUGUGUGUGUGUGUGUGUGUGUGUGCUCACAUGUGUGCGCCUGUGCGUGUGCAUGCAUGCAAGUACAGUGCCUUCGGGAAGGAUUCACACACCUUUACUUUUUCCACAUUUUGUUACGUUACAGCCUUAUUCUAAAAUGGAUUAAAUCGUUUUUCCCUCAUCAAUCUACUACACACAAUACCCCAAAAUGACAAAGUAAAAACAGGAUACUUUUUUUGCAUUUAUUAAAAAUAAAAAUGUAAAUAUCACAUUUACAUAAGUAUUCAGACCCUUUGCUCAGUACUUUGUUGAAGCGCCUUUGGCAGUGAUCACAGCAUCGAGUCUUCUUGGGUAUGACAAUACAAGCUUGACACACCUGUAUUUGGGGAGUUUCUCCCAUUCUUCUCUGCAGAUCCUCUCAAGCUCUGUCAGAUUGGAUGGAGAGCAUGGAUGUACAGCUUUGUCCGGGCUCUGGCUGGGCCACUCGAGGACAUUCACAGACGCCCGAAGCCACUCCUGCUUUGUCUUGGCUGGGUGUUGUCUUUUUGGAAGGUGAACCUUCGCCUCUGAGUGCUCUGGAGCAGGUUUUUACCAAGGAUCUCUCUGUACUUUGCUCAGUUCACCUUUGCCUCAAUCCUGACUAGUCUUCCAGUCCCUGCCGCUGAGAAACAUCCCAACAGCAUGAUGCUGCCACCACCAUGCUUGACCGUGGGGAUGGUGCCAGGUUUCCUUCAGACGUGACAUUUGGCAUUCAGGCCAAAGAGUUCAAUCUUGGUUUCAUCAAACCAGAGAAUCUUGUUUCUCAUGGUUUGAGAGUCCUUUAGGUGCCUUUUGGCAAACUCCAAGCGGGCUGUCAUGUGCCUUUUACAGAGGAGUGGCUUCCGUCUGGCCACUUUACCAUAAAGGCCUGAUUGGUGAAGUGCUGCAGAGAUGGUUGUUCUUCUGGAACUCUAGAGCUCUUUCAGAGUGACCAUCAGGUUGACCAAGGCCCUUCUCCCCUGAUUACUCAGUUUGGCAAGGAGACUAUCUCUAGAAAGUCUGGGAGUCUUGGUGGUUCCAAACUUCUUCAAUUUAAGAAUGAUGGAGGCGACUAUGUCCUUGGGGACCUUCAAUGCUGCAGAAAUGUUUUGGUACUGUUCUCCAGAUCUGUGCCGUGACACAAUCCCGUCUAGGAGCUCUACGGACAAUUCCUUCAACCUCAUGGCUUGGUUUUUGCUCUGACAUGCACUGUCAACUGUGGGACCUUAUGUAGACAGGUGUGUUCCGUUCCAAAUCACGUCCAAUCAAUAGAAUUUACCACAGGUGGACUCCAAUCAAAUUGUAGAAACAUCUCAAGGAUGAUCAAUGGAAACAGGAUGCAUCUGAGCUUAAUUUCGAGUCUAAUAGCAAAUGGUCUGAAUACUUAUAUAGAUAAGGUAUUUCUUUCUUUUUUUUCUUCUAAAACCAGUAAAACGCUUUGUCAUUAUUUUGUGUAGAUGCUGGGGAUUUUUUUCCAAUCCACUUUAAAAUAAGGCGGUAACAUAACAACAUGUGUAAAAAGUCAUUGGGUCUGAAUACUUUCCCGAAGGCACUGUAUGUGGAUGACAUUGCUGUAUGUGUAUGUGUGUGUGCAUGUACGUGUGCAUGCGUGUACGUGUGCAUACAUGCAACUAUGUGGAUGACAUGGCUGUUUACAAACCCUGAAGAAAGUGAUUUCGCAUUAUUUUCAAUUGAAUUAUACAAUUUGCAUUGUACAAUGAUAAUUUGUGUCUUGCUUCAUGUUUAUCAACAUUUUAAGUGAAGGCAAAUGUAGGGAACCAAAAUAACACAUUGGGCGGGGAGUAGGACCAAGGACACCUGCCCCAAACUGGAAUGAGAAAAGUAGCACAGGAGUAUGGUGAUGAAAACAAUUGUAAUCUACCAUGCUGCAAAAAAACUUUGAAGCUGGCCAGUGUCAACUAAGCAAGCAACCUAUAAUUUAGCCGUCUUGUUUAAGUACAUUGGUACAUUGGACAGCGCCACAGGAACAACACUGUUGAAAUACAAUGGGUUAGGCUUCAGCUCUUUUCUUUUGCAUUUAGGCUUAUAACACACUAAUGUAUGCAGGCGGGAGUAAAAAAACAAUUGUGGACAAGACAGACGGUGCGUUCUGGAAGUGGUUCUUAUCAAUCAGGUUGUCUGGUAUUUUGACAGAUUCACACGCAAAUGUGUGAGAAAGAGUCUCCGCGUGACCCCACCGCCAGCUGCCAUGAGGCUACUGAAUGGCAGUGACGUGAGGACCAGACGUUUGGACGUGCACGGAAUCCGCCCCAUUUCCCGGUGUGUGGGAAACAGUAGGCCUUCCAAGCACCCGCCUUACGAAAUUUCCCCUGAUAUUAAAAUUGGCAUUUGCAGGGUGGCAGGGUAUUUUGUACUGUGUUAAAACGUAUGCCUAGACAACAUACGAAAAAGUGAUAGAAAAUACGAAUUCAGUAUUUUCGUGUGUGAAUUUCUAUGCCUCAGACACGUGAUAAAAUGUCAAUUAGUAGGCUGAAUCUAAGGUAAUCGAAUAUUCUCAUAUUUAACGUUAUAAUUUCUGAAAUAGGGUAAAUCUGAAGUUAGAAUCGUGUUUUGAUGGAGUUGUUUACUCUGACAAGAGGCUGCUCCUAAUUCUUGAUUUAACAGACUUGAUUAGUGACACCAUUUGUUUUACACCAAAUCUGGAUUAGGAUUAUACAGUGUAGGUCUGAUUUGAUGGACCCUCCAAUAUCUCACCCUUGACCUCAAUCAGUCCAAAUUCAACAACAUGUGGACAGGAGUAAGGUCAAGAGGGGAUUAUUUCUUUGUGUUGUUAUAGUCAAAACAUGUUUGUUGGUGACAGACAAAAUGUAUUAAAUUAAUGCUUAUCAUUGGUAUUGUUGAUAACACUUACAAAGUUGUCUAGGAUAUUGCUUAAUUUAUGUUGAAAAACUGUGCAAAUAUUGAUGUUUUGUUGGAGUGAAAUUAUUGAAAUACAUUGAAAUGUAAUACAAUUGCAGAACUGUUAUAAACUAUGAUUAUUCAUUUCGAUUUUUUUUCUAAUAAAUAUUUUCUUAAAUU